UGAAGGCCGCAUUUCCAAUGUGUGUAUUUGAGCCCGAAAGCAGUCUGAAAUGCCCGUAUUUCGGGUUGGGUUGCGGGGGGAACGAAAGAGGACCCAACGCAUCCCGCUUCUCCGUGCACCUCCUUUUAACAACCGCCUUUGGCUCUCUGCCCGUUAAACGGCGGCUCGGGGAGCCCCGCCCCGCUCCCAGCCUCCCCCGCGGCAAGAUGGCGGCACCGGCACUGAGGCGGCGUUGCGGCCGGGUGGCGGGGUUGUUGGGCGGCCCGCUCCGGGCCCCGCCGCCGCUGCUCCCUCUCCGGCGGCGAGCCCACCACCAGCAACAGCAGCCGCGGCGGGCCCGGGGCACCGGAGGUCUGCUGGCGGCGCAGUGCGAGCGCGGCCUCUUCCAGGAGGUGUUCCCGGCGCAGAGCGCGGAGGAGCAGCUGCCGGGGCUGCUGGAGCCAGGCCGCCCUCCCCUCACCGCCUACUGCGGCUUCGACCCCACCGCCGACUCGUUGCACGUCGGGCACCUGCUGCCCGUCAUGGGGCUCCUCCACUUCCAGCGGGCCGGCCACAACGUUAUCGCCGUGGUGGGAGGCGCCACGGCGCGGCUGGGGGACCCCAGCGGCCGGGAGCGGGCGCGGGAGGCGCCGUCGGCCGAGCGGGUGCGGGAGCAGGCGCGGGGUCUGCGGGCCGGGCUGGAGCGGCUCUUCGGCAACCACCGGGAGCUGUUCUGGGGGGCGGGCGGCGGGCGGCUGGGGCAGGCGGAGCUGCUGGAUAACGACUGGUGGCUGGGCCGGCAGCCGCUGCUCGACUUCCUCGGCGGAGCGGGCGGCCGGCUCCGCAUGGGGACGCUGCUGAGCCGGCAGAGCUGCCAGGCGCGGCUGCGCAGCCCCGAGGGCAUGAGCCUGGCCGAGUUCCUCUACCCGGCGCUGCAGGCCUACGACUUCCUCCACCUCUACCGCCACCACGGCUGCCGAGUCCAGCUGGGGGGAGCCGACCAGAUGGGCAACAUCAUGUCCGGCUACGAGCUCGUCACCAAGAUGACAGGAACAGAUGUGUUUGGAAUUACCGUACCUCUUAUUACCAGUACUACUGGAGAUAAACUGGGAAAGACUGCUGGCAAUGCAGUUUGGCUAAACAGAGAUAAGACUUCUCCAUUUGAGCUGUAUCAGUUUUUUGUUAGACAACAAGAUAAUGUAGUUGAAAAAUACCUGAAACUCUUCACCUUCCUUCCUCUUGAGGAGAUUGACCACAUUAUGGAAAUGCAUGCUAAAGAACCUGAAAAAUGGGGCCCUCAGAAACGACUUGCUGCAGAAGUAACCAAGCUUGUUCAUGGUAGAGAGGGGCUAGAAUCUGCUAAGAGGUGCACUAAGGCCCUUUAUUACAGCAGCGUGGAGGCAUUGGAAGCUAUGUCUGACCAAGAAUUACAGGAACUUUUUAGACAAGCUCCUUCAGCUGAAUUGAUGCUUGAACCUGGAAUGAACGUUCUUGAUUUGUGUCGCAAAGCAAAUGCCAUUCUGGAUGGACCUAGUGGGUACCAGAAAAUUACAGAUGGUGGAGUUUCAAUAAAUGGGAUUCGAGUGACUGAUCCUGAGACCGUUCUUAUUCUCGGACAGCAUAUUCUGAAGAACGGAGUAUCAUUGCUUAGGGUUGGAAAGAAAAAUUACUACAUUAUAAAAUGGCUGCAGUUGUGACAACAGAAUAUCUGCUUAAAGCAACACAUCAUUUUGACUCUGCUGCUUGAAGAUGUACUUGAAGAUGUUUCUAUACUGUGCAUUAUAACUACUCAGCUCACAAACUACCCAAUACCAUAGUUUCAUUUUCAAAGUACACCAACAGAGUUCAAAUAAAGGCAGCUAAGUUAUACCACUGAAGAGACUUAGAUACUCCGCCUUAUUCAAAGCACCAUUCAUAAGAGAAUAUGCACAAGAAGAUGAAAAGAUUAAUUUCAAAGUCCAAAGAUACGGAGAUGGUCUUCGCCUCCUUUAACAACCUUCUGUGUUGUAGGAGGACAGCAAUGGCCAGGUACUCUACAGCGUAAUCCACAGCAAGAUGAGCAAAAGCAUACUGAAGAACAGUACUUUUUACAGAGGAUGGAUGCUGCUGUCCAGUUUGACUUCUUCCUAACAGAGAAACCUGUGUAAGUGGUGUGGGUGACACUAAUUCCUCUUCUCCAGUCCUGUGAAUUACCAGGAUGCUUCUGUGGCUAUCUAGAAUCUUCGUCGAAUGUAAAGCCCACAGAACUAGUGCCAGGACAUACCGUCAGUUGCAAGAUAGUAUAUUAUACUGGAAGAUUUGAAGCAUGUACGUAUGUGAAAGCUUUUUUAAUUUUAGUACACUGCCUUGCUAAAUUCCCUUCCCAUGGUGCGGUUUGGGAUUGGGUUGCUUACACAAUAUAGGUGCCACAGUACUUAACAGCCAGGUCACCUGAACAACAACAAAACCCACAUGUGGUUACCAAGAUUAUUUGUAAUACAAGCCCAUAUUUGAAUUACUUAGAACCGUUCAAUUGACUUAGAAUACAGUAAUGUAGCUGGCUGACUCAGAAAAUAUUAUUAAGCCCUCCUUGCCCCACUGUACACACAUCUGAAACCCUCAGUCUGAUUUAUGAGAUGAUUGAUUGGUUUGGGCCUUGGCUGCAGUGUUGUUUUUGAGGUUUAGGGUAAUCCUCACUCUUAGGAGGAUCCUUUCCUAGUCCAUGAAACUCCUAGACAAUACAUUUUUGCAGUCACAAGGGGAGAGGCCUUAAUCUUAGCUACGUGCAUGUGGUAACUCAUCACCAUCUCUUAUGUUGUUAGAAUAAGUCAUGGUAUUUCAUGUGGUUUAAAACCACCCAGCCUAUAAGAAGAAAGGGGAAAUGAUAAGAAACGUUAGUAAGUCUCAAGAAUCCAGAUAUUCUAUAGUUGGGUGGGGAGUUUCUGUUGGUUUGUUUAGACGGGUUGGUUUUGGUUUUUUGUUUUUUUAACUUGAUGUGAUCAACUUCAUGUUGCCUUUACUGGCGCUGUCAAUCAAGAUUUCAAUAGUACUAAAUUUUAGUGGCUUGCUGCUUAUACAUCGCAGUUUCUUCAGAUUUUUAAACUGUAAUAGCAGUACUUUCAGUAGCUCACCACGUGGAGUUACAAGUAUUAAUCUUAAUUUCUAGACCCCACUUACCUGCCCAACAAUGAGAUUUCUCUAUGCUAAUCUCUGUUACAUAGAGAAAAAUAAAAAAAGUUGAGUCAUUCCUACCUUAAAAAAAGGCUCUACCCAGCCUGUUGGCUCUCGGGAUCAGUUUAUGUUGCUUGUUACUUUGUCUUAAGCUGCAGUAGUGAUGAGCGCUAUCCUACAGAAAGCAUACGGAGGAAAAAAUCACAACUUUGAUGUGGAAAGGGUAGAAGAAGGGCAGGGAAAGGAAAGUUAAGUUCAUCCACUUAAUAUCACUGUGUUGUUCCUUAAACAGCAGAAGCAUUAUAGCAAUGAACGUGCACCUGGGAACAAAACAUGCCAGUUCACACCCAUGUUUGUUCGCCUCUAGAGAAACACAUCAGAUUUGACAGUUACUUUCUGGUUGCAGGAAAUAAACUAGGAGUAUAGUAAGUCAUGUUUCGUAUCUUAUCUCUCUCCUGCCUUUUUUCCUUCAUCUCCAAAUGGUGUAAAUACACGCAUAUCCACAAAUUUCAGCUUUUUUUAAAAAGCAUUAGUACCCACUUUGAUCAAGUAUUAAAAUGAUUUUAUUUAUUUUUACAAAUACAAAAUAAAAAAGGGAAUUAAAAUUCUUUGCAUACAAGGUUUUUAAUAAGAGCCAUAAACUCU